rnacentral:rRNA from 2 species
UGGGGAAUCUUGGACAAUGGGGGAAACCCUGAUCCAGCGACGCCGCGUGAUCGAUGAAGGCCUUCGGGUCGUAAAGAUCUUUCAGCGGGGACUAUGAUGAAGGUACCCGCAGAAGCAGGAGCGGCUAACUACGUGCCAGCAGCCGCGGUAAUACGUAGGCUCCAAGCGUUGUUCGGAAUUACUGGGCGUAAAGCGAGUGUAGGCGGUUCGCCAAGUCGAUUGUGAAAUCUCCCGGCUCAACUGGGAGGGUGCGGUCGAUACUGGCGAGCUAGAGUGCGGAAGAGGAAGGUAGAAUUCCUGGUGUAGCGGUGGAAUGCGUAGAUAUCAGGAGGAAUACCGGUGGUGAAGACGGCCUUCUGGGCCGCAACUGACGCUGAGACUCGAAAGCGUGGGGAGCAAACAGG